AAAACGGUCCUUUUAGGGGCCACUCAUUAUUCAAUUAAUAAAUCAGU
rfam:Macrostomum lignano unitig_33019, whole genome shotgun sequence.